rnacentral:rRNA from 1 species
CCUACGGGAGGCAGCAGUGGGGAAUAUUGGACAAUGGGCGAAAGCCUGAUCCAGCAAUGCCGCGUGAGUGAUGAAGGCCUUAGGGUUGUAAAGCUCUUUUACCAGGGAUGAUAAUGACAGUACCUGGAGAAUAAGCUCCGGCUAACUCCGUGCCAGCAGCCGCGGUAAUACGGAGGGAGCUAGCGUUGUUCGGAAUUACUGGGCGUAAAGCGCACGUAGGCGGCCAUUCAAGUCAGAGGUGAAAGCCCGGGGCUCAACCCCGGAACUGCCUUUGAAACUAGAUGGCUUGAAUCUUGGAGAGGCGAGUGGAAUUCCGAGUGUAGAGGUGAAAUUCGUAGAUAUUCGGAAGAACACCAGUGGCGAAGGCGACUCGCUGGACAAGUAUUGACGCUGAGGUGCGAAAGCGUGGGGAGCAAACAGGAUUAGAUACCCCAGUAGUC